ACACCCAAAACACCGUAGGCCGAGUUUGGUAAGGUAUUAUCCCAAGAAGUCCAUGUUUAGGAAGCACGAUUUGAUUGACAAAGGAUGCGCCGUUUUUCUAUGGGAUUGCCCCGUAGCUUACAAAUUCCACAUGGCUUGUGCAAGGCACUACGAUGGAGAAUAUAAAACAUUUAACAGCUACUGCGAUAUGGAAUACGAAAAUUGUAACGGAUGGAGACAAUGGAGUCUUAUAAAAAACGGCAGAUGUUAAUUGCUACUAAAAAUGGAACAGGCGUUUUCAUGAGUUUUACGAGGAGCACAACCUUUCAUUGAAAUAAUUCUCUACUUGGUUAUUACGCACCUCUAGUAAUCACUACUAUAAAUGUGUAGAGAGAGAAGUAUAAAGGAAUUAACAUUCUUACACUAGUGUCACAUGUUUAUAGUUCAUUAUUAAUUUUAUUAUUCAAGAAGUGUUUUAUGUUCAAGCAUGUAAUUCGUAACUCUUGUUUUAAAUUAAUCAGUAGAGGUUUUGAUUAUUUAUUUAUAAAGUAGAAGAAGAAGACGCACUUAAGGUUUGAGACGGUGUAGAAUGAAAACAAAAAGUGUUAGAAAAUCAACAAUAACAUUGUUUUGUUUAGUAGUUUACUAAUCUGACUCUUACCAUAGUGACACGCAAAACAAUUGUAGGUAAUGAAUAAUGUAGUUAUAUAAAUAGUGAAAAAUGGGAUUUGCGUAGGUACUCUUAGAGUGGUUACACAUGGCGAAUUUUUGCAGCGAUGCAAACGCGAUGCAGCAAAUAUACAGUUUGAUCCAAAUGAGUCUCAAUUAAAGAAAAGGCUAUGAACUGAACAAAUAAAUAUGACAGGGAGUCGGAGGGGUCAAAAAGGGAAAACUAAUAUACACACAACAACGCUCCGAGAGUCCUCACUCUGUAUCGGAGCAGUUACACACGCCGACUUUUAGCAGCGAUGCAAAUGCAAUGCAAACGCGAUGCAGUGGCGAUGCAGUCGGUAAUCUAUCUAAAUAUUUAUAUUUAUAUUAAUAUAAAUAUAAAGUCUAUCUUUACACACACGCACGAUUUUAAGCAGCGAUGCAAGCGCGCGACAGCAUCGAUACAAACGCGCACCGUUUGCACCGAUUCAAUUGCUUAUAAAUCCCAAGAGUAGCGAUCCAAUCGCGCGUUUCACGAACACUCGUUUGCAUCGUUGCUAAAAGUCGCCACAUGUAACCACUCUUACACUGUACUGUGGGUAAGUGUACGUGUAUUAUGCAUCGGUAAGAAUACGCAAUCCCUUUUUUGAUAGGAUUUCGUUUAUCGGUUGCACACACGAAUGCUCCCGAUCUCUCGUAUCCAGUACAAGCUUCAUCACACCACAGAUGGUAUGAUGGUAGGCUCUUUGUAAAUCACUUGGCACCCUAGGCACCUCCAUAUGUUUUUGGUAAUGAUAGUUUUUUGUAUUUUUUAUUUCGUUUUUGGUCUUACAUUCG